UACGAAGGGGUGCAAGCGUUACUCGGAAUUACUGGGCGUAAAGCGUGCGUAGGUGGUUUGUUAAGUCUGCUGUGAAAGCCCCGGGCUCAACCUGGGGAAUGGCAGUGGAUACUGGCAAGCUAGAGUGCGGUAGAGGGUAGUGGAAGUUCCCGGUGUAGCGGUGAAAUGCGUAGAGAUCGGGAGGAACACCGAGUGGCGAAGCGGCUACCUGGACCA
rnacentral:rRNA from 1 species